rnacentral:rRNA from 1 species
AUUGAACGCUGGCGGCAGGCUUAACACAUGCAAGUCGAGCGGAGAUGAGGUGCUUGCACCUUAUCUUAGCGGCGGACGGGUGAGUAAUGCUUAGGAAUCUGCCUAUUAGUGGGGGACAACAUUCCGAAAGGAAUGCUAAUACCGCAUACGCCCUACGGGGGAAAGCAGGGGAUCUUCGGACCUUGCGCUAAUAGAUGAGCCUAAGUCGGAUUAGCUAGUUGGUGGGGUAAAGGCCUACCAAGGCGACGAUCUGUAGCGGGUCUGAGAGGAUGAUCCGCCACACUGGGACUGAGACACGGCCCAGACUCCUACGGGAGGCAGCAGUGGGGAAUAUUGGACAAUGGGCGGAAGCCUGAUCCAGCCAUGCCGCGUGUGUGAAGAAGGCCUUUUGGUUGUAAAGCACUUUAAGCGAGGAGGAGGCUACCUGGAUUAAUACUCUAGGAUAGUGGACGUUACUCGCAGAAUAAGCACCGGCUAACUACGUGCCAGCAGCCGCCGUAA